UACAGAGGGUGCGAGCGUUGUUCGGAAUUAUUGGGCGUAAAGGGCGCGUAGGCGGCGCCACAAGUCACUUGUGAAAACUCUGGGCUCAACUCAGAGCCUGCAAGCGAAACUGUGGUGCUGGAGUAUGGGAGAGGUGCGUGGAAUUCCCGGCGUAGCGGUGAAAUGCGUAGAUACGUCGGAGGAACACCUGUGGCGAAAGCGGCGCACUGGACCAUAACUGACGCUGAGGCGCGAAAGCUAGGGGAGCAAACAGG
rnacentral:rRNA from 1 species